rnacentral:rRNA from 1 species
CCUACGGGAGGCAGCAGUGGGGAAUAUUGGACAAUGGGGGGAACCCUGAUCCAGCGACGCCGCGUGAGUGAAGAAGUAUUUCGGUAUGUAAAGCUCUAUCAGCAGGGAAGAAAAUGACGGUACCUGACUAAGAAGCCCCGGCUAACCACGUGCCAGCAGCCGCGGUAAUACGUAGGGGGCAAGCGUUAUCCGGAUUUACUGGGUGUAAAGGGAGCGUAGACGGGGCAGCAAGUCGGAUGUUAAAGGUUGGGGCCCAACCCCGGGACUGCAUUUGAAACUGUUGAACUGGAGUGCAGGAGAGGUAAGCGGAAUUCCUGGUGUAGCGGUGAAAUGCGUAGAUAUUAGGAGGAACACCAGUGGCGAAGGCGGCUUACUGGACUGUAACUGACGUUGAGGCACGAAAGCGUGGGGAGCAAACAGGAUUAGAUACCCUAGUAGUC